rnacentral:rRNA from 1 species
UACGAAGGGGGCUAGCGUUGCUCGGAAUCACUGGGCGUAAAGCGCACGUAGGCGGCUUCUUAAGUCAGGGGUGAAAUCCUGGAGCUCAACUCCAGAACUGCCUUUGAUACUGAGGAGCUUGAGUCCGGGAGAGGUGAGUGGAACUGCGAGUGUAGAGGUGAAAUUCGUAGAUAUUCGGAGGAACACCAGUGGCGAAGGCGGCUCACUGGUCCGGUACUGACGCUGAGGUGCGAAAGCGUGGGGAGCAAACAGG